rnacentral:rRNA from 1 species
UACGGAGGGGGCUAGCGUUGUUCGGAAUUACUGGGCGUAAAGCGCACGUAGGCGGUUUGUUAUGUCGGAUGUGAAAGCCCUUGGCUCAACUGAGGAAGUGCAUCCGAAACUGGCAAGCUAGAGUACUAAAGAGGAUCGCGGAAUUCCCGGUGUAGAGGUGAAAUUCGUAGAUAUCGGGAGGAACCCCAGAGGCGAAGGCGGCGCUCUGGCUCGCAACUGACGCUCAGACACGACAGCAUGGGGAGCGAACGGG